AUGUGGGACUCGGAGUGGGACUGGCAAGUGCGCCAAAUUCGAAGGAAUUGCUUCUCGGUGGUGUACCCGUCCAAGGCUGCCGUUCGGAUGGCUAAGAAGAGCGGCACCAUUACGCUUCCUAUCAGCGUUCAGAAGGCGGAGGUGGGAGAGACUUUCUCGAAGCUGCAUGUGGUGUCUUGGCUGCAGGAGUGCUGGGUGCGGAUCACUGGAAUACCGGACAAGCUUCGUCAAGCCCCUCUCAUCAAGGAAUUUCUACGGGUGGUGGGAAAGACAGUGUUGAUCGAUGAGCUUACAAUUGUCAAGCCGGACAUGGGAGGAAUCCGCGGCGCCCUGCAACCUCUUGAGCAUGCGUUGGUUUUCCCUUGA
rnacentral:rRNA from 1 species